AUUGAACGCUGGCGGCAUGCUUUACACAUGCAAGUCGAACGGUAACAGCACUUCGGUGGCUGACGAGUGGCGAACGGGUGAGUAAUACAUCGGAACGUGCCUAGUAGUGGGGGAUAACUACUCGAAAGAGUAGCUAAUACCGCAUGAGAUCUAAGGAUGAAAGCAGGGGACCUUCGGGCCUUGCGCUACUAGAGCGGCUGAUGGCAGAUUAGGUAGUUGGUGGGAUAAAAGCUUACCAAGCCGACGAUCUGUAGCUGGUCUGAGAGGACGACCAGCCACACUGGGACUGAGACACGGCCCAGACUCCUACGGGAGGCAGCAGUGGGGAGUUUUGGACAAUGGGCGCGAGCCUGAUCCAGCAAUGCCGCGUGCAGGAUGAGGGCCUUCGGGUUGUAAACUGCUUUUGUACGGAACGAAAAGCCCUCUUCUAAUACAGGAGGGUCAUGACGGUACCGUAAGAAUAAGCACCGGCUAACUACGUG
rnacentral:rRNA from 1 species